rnacentral:rRNA from 1 species
AAUCUUACCGGGUCCGGACGUAUCGAGGAUUGACAGAUAGUUAUACAUGCCCUACAAGCAAGUAGGAGUCAGGUUUUAAACCUAAUGGCUCUUUCAUGAUUAUAUGAUAGGUGGUGCAUGGCCGUUCUUAGUUCGUGGAGUGAUCUGUCUGCUUAAUUGCGUUUCAAAUUUUUAACCGAGGACCGGGUUUUGGUUUGGCUAGUGGUCCUACGAUGACUGUGAACUGUCAUGUCUUCGGAUGUACGACUAUCGGUCUAGGAUCACAUGACUUGCCCCUGGGACUCUUUUGAACGCAACGGACGUGAUUGCAACCCCUUGUUGAGAUUAGAGAUAGUCUCGAUAUUCACUGGCCAAACUGGCUGCUUUAUGCAGUCUUGUUGAAUGGUGGAUAAACUCGGGGGACUGCUGACUAUAACCAUUUCUCAAAACAGAGGAAGGUUGCGGCAAUAACAGGUCUGUGAUGCCCUCAGAUGUCCCGGGCUGCACACGUGCUACAAUGAGUGGCGCAAUGUGCUAAUGUUUUAAGGGAUAAGCGUGCGGCCAGUAGAACGUCGGCAAUUGCCCUGGCGUCUUCUACCGCACGAUUAUCAGCCUUCCCUUAACAGGGCGGGCAACCUUUUCAAAAUACCGGUUUGAUGUUAAAGUAUAGAGUCGUUUUUUUUGGAUGGUGGUUUACGAACCAAUACCAUCCGCAACUGCUCGCGAGUUUGUGGUUCUGGUGACUCAUGGUGGGGACCGAUGUUUGUAAUUGUUUGUCGCGUGU